CCGACACGGCCCCCCGGGCCCUGCCCCGUCCGCGGGCGCUGAGCGCGGGCAGUGACCGCGGGGCUGCGGCCUCGUGCUCCGGCCUCGGAGGGGAAACGGGGAAUUUUGUAGGUGUGUAGAGAAAGAGGGGAAAUGUACACGUGUGUGUGGAGAGAGCGCGCACGUAUCCGGAGCGUGUGAUUGCAGAAGGAAACUAUGAUUGUGAGAGGCCUCUAUCUGCUAUCAUCUCUUAUCUGUGGCAGCGUGGGUUCUGUGGGCACGGCACCACUCGCGGUUGUACCCAGCCAUGCCAAGUGUGGCUUGUGCAUUCUGGUCUCAUGAACACAGGAAAUGUGGAAAAGGGUACUGCCUUAGGCCCAAAACCUUGAAUUGUGCUCAGCUGGGCAGCAGCUCGUGAAUGGGCACCAAGUAUUUCGCGUCGUGACUGUGUAACAGCGUGGUUAGAGAGAAAUGAAAUACUAAGUGCCUUAAUUCACAGAAACACAAAAUGGUUUGGGUUGGAAGGGACCUUUAAAGAUAAUCUAUUCUAAUACCCCUCCAAUGGCAGGACCAUUUUCACCUAGAUCAGAUUGCUCAGAGCCUCAUCCAGCCUGACCUUCAAUGUUUCCAGGAUUGGAUCAUCCACCUCUGGUCAACCUGUGCCAGUGUUUUGCCACCCUCAUUGUAAAAAAUUUCUUACUUAUAUUUAGUGUUAAUCUACUGUUUUGUAAUUCAAAACCAUUACUCUUUUCCUAUCACAAUAGGCCCUGCUAAAAUGUCUCUCCCCAUCUUUCUUAUAAGCCCUCUUUAGGUACUGGAAGGCUGCUCUAAGGUCUCCCUGGAGCCUUCUCCAGGCUGAACAACCCCAGUGCUUACAGAGGAGAUGCUCCAGCGCUGUGAUCAUCCGUAUGCCCCAGAUGCCUCGGUUCAAGUUUGCCUUGUUAGAGAUCAUUUUUCUCAGUGCUGAGUAGAUUGUGUUUCAUAUCACGAAACAAUUACAUAUGUCACAGAUAAGCACAGAUAGAAUAUAAUUCCACAGUGCAUUUAAUAACAAGAUUUUGAAGACAGUAAGUAGGCUGUGACAAGCAGUUGGUAAGGCUUUGCAGUGCAAUUUCCGGUUGAACUAGGCAUACCUAUUGGGCAGGGACCGGUCAGGUCAUCUGUCAAGUGUAUCAAUUAAAUUGUACCCAGGGUCCUUAAAAAUAAGGUUGUGAAAAAGCUGGAGCCAUCCCUUAUCAAAAGCACCUUUUGUGCUUUGAGCACUGUGGAUGUCAUCCUCUGGGAAAACUGGUGGUCCAGUAAAAGUUCUUCUCCAGACUGACAGUGUCAGGAGCAUCUGCAUUGCAGCCUGUCUCUGCAGAUGAUUUGUGAUAAAUGCUUCAGUAUGGUGUCAUACCUGUGCCAGAAUGGACAGUAAAAUUUCUCUCCUUUUUUUUAAAAUAAUACAGAACAGGCAUGUAAAGAGCAGAGGCAAAAUAAAAUGCUGAGGGUGAUUUUCAAAGAAUAAAGGCUUUGUAAUGGAAGAAAAGUAGUAGCAAGGUAUCUGUGAUUUUAUGCUCUGCCUUGAAAAAAAUCCUAAUAUUUCUGAGGUUUUCUGCAACAGAUUUCACUCUUUUAGAAAGAUACUUCACAAAAUUAAAUUCACAGGAGUUGGAGAAACAAGAUCUUGCAGGCAUGUUUGGACUUCUUAACCUAUGAUUUAGUGUUCCUUUCUCCCAAAGCUCUGACUUCUCUUGAGAAGGCUCUCCUUUUCUUUCCCAUCUCUUGUGAUAUUUGCCUUUAAGUUCCAGUCUAGGUUCUACAAUUUAGGGUCAUGCCACUCAUAUCCUUACUGCCACAGUAAUAAUCUUCUUUGGUGCAUUUGCCCACCUGAAGGAAGAGAUUGAAGAUUAUCGUGGCUCAGAAGUGUAAGGCUCUGGAACAACCCUCUGAUGAGUACAGGAGCAAAACACCUGCCUAUUUACCAGGCUUGAUCAGCAUGUGUAGAAUUAUAAAAAAAUAGUAUUAAAUGUCUGCCUAAAAGGGAGAUGGACUUGAUGGCACAUGAGAUCCCCUUGUCCUGUUUUUUUUCACAGGGAGUUGAUGGUGGCCAUUCUCUGUUUAUACCUCCCAAAGUGUUGAAAGCAGGAAAAGCCUGUUCUUUUCAGUGCUGCUGUUUGAGUUUGACACCCCUUCCCUAUCAUGGUCAUGUCAUUAAAAGGAGGAUGAAGAAAACCUGUUUGAUCAUGUUAAGCAGUCUGGCUGUGGUGGAAAAAAGCACUUAAACAAUUUGUGUACUCCCACUGAUCUUAGAAUCAGAUGAGCUUCACAUUUAAGCUUGCUGAAAUGUGUUCAUAGAUUACCGUCUUACAUGAUCUAACUCUAGUAGCACUGAAUUUUAUAUCAAGCUUUCCUCAAUCUCUGUGCUCAUAAGAAAAGUGACAGUCAUGGCCUCUCUGAGUUCACAGAGAAAGUUGUUUUGGUUGGCCCCGCUCUUUUCUUUGUGCUGGUGUUUUGAGCUGUAGGAAAUGGCAGUGUUUUGAAAGGUAGACAUACAGUGAGGUUGAAAAAAAAAGCAGUUGCAAGGUAUGCACUUUGCAUAAUGUUAACAUCCUUAUGUUAACAUAUAAAUAUGUUAACAUAAAUAUAUUCCCAUGUAUCUCUAAAUGAGAGAGAAAACCAGUAAAACCAAUGCAGUAAAAAUAGAAAAAAAGCAGGCCUCUUGUGAGUGGAGAAAAUACUGAAAGACAAAAAUGGCUUUUAUCUGCAGAAUAUAAUGUUAGUUUAAUAGCUCUAACUUGAGGUUCAGUUAUGAUUAAGUAUAAUAUAGGCAUGGAACAGAAUUCAAAAAAGCAACAGGAAAGACUUUCUGGCUGAUGCUGUACUCUCAAGACUUCUGCAAAUGAUUAAAAAUUGAAAAAAUUUAUAAAUGGAAUCCAAGAUGAAAUCCAAAUAUAUAUCACUCUUCAGUGUCUAAAUGGAGAAAAUAGGCAGCAGUCUUUCUUUUCCCAAUGAUUCAAUACUUGACUGAAUGCUCAUUGUUGUGUUUAAAUUGGUGAUAUUAAGUGAUGCUGUUAAAAUGUGAUAAGAGAAACACUGAUACAUUCAUCCUGUUAUGCAGCUCACCCGAAGCUGGGAAGGCUUAGCAUGUGUAAAGGGAAAUCUCCUGAAUCUUUCCUUUCCCCCACUGCACUCAGGCAGCGUUCCUGUCAUGCAUCCAGGCCCAUGAGGAAGGUUCAGUUUUGGCAAAGGGCUUGAUAGUGGCAGGAUGUCAUUGCCAUGGUGGCACUACAGUUAUGUAAUCAGGGAGUGAUUUAGGCUACUGAAGCAGUUUAGAAGUGGUUAUGGGGGUUCUGUGUGGUGAUAAAAUUACCACGAUUUAAAUGACCGAACAUAAAAAUAUCUUGGAAAAAUUUGUGUAAUAUAUUUUAGCAAGAUACCUGUCACCAUUUCCUGGAACAGAUGGAGCAGAUGUUCAAUAUUGUGAUGGUAAAACUAGCAGUUGGUUUUAUCCUCCUCAUGGUUUACAGGGACAUUUUAUCAAAUAUAUUGCAUUGCUCAUCAUGCACGACAAGAAAAUCUGUAGCACAGGAAAGUUUGCUGGAGAAAGGAGGGUAGAAAACAUCUGUUUUGUGAGAGGGAUUGGAACAGAAUGACCAUAAUUAAAAUUAACAAUUUUAAGUCUUUAACAAGACUUCUUCUAUUUGGGUCUUGCUAAGGCCAGACUGGUGGGGUCAGCUGUUUGUGUGCUGAUUGCAAAGGGACCUUGAAGAAAAAGUGUAUCAGGCUGAGAAGUGCUGGGUGGUGCCAUUUGCUUGAACAGGAGCUGCAUCCUGACUUCUGACUGCUGCUUGUGUUGUCAGCUAGCGGAAGCAGUAUGACUGAAUAAACAUAAACAUAGACUUUAUCAAAUCUGCCACUUUAUACUAUUAGAAGCAUCCUAGAUAUGUUUAUUCCUGUGGCCUACCUUUGGGGAAUACAUUAGUGUUUAGAGAUGAAUGUGUGUUUUUCCUCUGCAAACACACCUGCCAUAGAAAAGUUCUGCUUCAUUUCUUUCCCUUUCUCCUCCAGCCAGCUCUGCUUGCUAUGUCAUUGGUGUCAGAAGCCCUGCAGGUCCUGUGUGAUAGGAACAGGGCAGAGCACGUUACUGAUGUGUUUGACUGAGCAUAACAACAAAGGGUAGUUGCUACUGCUAGUCACUGGAUGAGGGGGAGUAUGGUUUCUAAAGCACCUCCUGUUCCAAGCUUUCUUCUGCCUCUGUAAGUGCUGACAGAAUCUACAAGUUUGUGAAUAAAAACAAACACACACAAACACCUUCUUGAGUUGACGAAUCACGUAGUCCUUGCAGGACCUCAUCAGUUUUCCUCUGGCUGUCACCUUGGGGUGGGUUACAAGUGUGUUUAUGCUCUAUCUCAUUUUUCUUCCUUUAAAAAGUAUGUAUUCAAAGAAAGUGCCCGAAACAACAUUGUGCAGUAGCACAAUUUUUGGACAGCUGUGCUGAUGAGGACAGAGAAAGUCAGUGCUGAGCAGCACCUGUUAGACAUAUGCUGUUCUCUACAAGUCAGUGAACUGUGAAGGGCAGUUGAAGAAUUGCCCUGGAAAGCCAGCGCUGGAUGUCUGGACCUGCUGUUGGCAGCGUGUGGCUGCUGUGCCCUGAGACCAUCACAGCCAGGAUCUUGCUAGCCAAAAUCCCCUAGCUAGCUUUGUCUGGUGAUGCUGACCAAGACAGACCUUCACCCACAGAGCAGUAAACCCACUGUGUCAGGUGUAGUGACCUCCAUCAGUGACAUUCACAGGGGGGCACAGGCUCCUGCCCUCGGGGUCACAUCCUUGGUUCUGCCUUCUCAAAUCUGAGCUGGGCCUAGAGCACUCUGGUCCAAGUCUUGAGCUCAGUCAGCCUUUGGGAAAAGGUGUAAAAUUUGUCACUUCUCUGCUCAGACAAAGCAAAGCUGUGCCUUUUCCUCACAGGUGCCUGAACCACGGCCUCAUGGGUGGAAAGAAGCCCUGUGGCAACCUAAUUUCAUAUUCUCUCAAACCAGAAUGGGGACAGAUGCUGCUGAUGUUUAUUGGUGACACCUGGGGGAUGCCUCUUCUGUGGAUAGCCACUAAGGCCUUGCUCAAGCUUAUGGGUGUGCUACAUGCCUUGCAUUUGGGCAGUGAAGGAAAACGGAAUAUUUAGCUAUUGUCAAAAAAUAGACCUUACUGUCUGAAGCAUGGCUGAUCCCAUGAUCUAUGUAGGAGAGAAGGCUGCAUUCCAAGGGUGGUGGGAUAACGUGGUCAUAAAGAACUCCCAGCUCUUGUUAUACUGACUUCCUUGUGCCUCUUUACUUUUAUCUUGCAAAACUUUAUUAUCAAUUUUCUAUCAGUGAUCCAUACCUAAAUUUUCUUUUAUUUUCUAGUCAUACUUAUGAAAGAGAAAUAUGUCUUGUAAUGAGAAAUACUUAUGCACCUUGAUGUGUCAGUGGCUUUUACAUUGCUCACUAGAUGGCAGUACGAUGCUUGUUAUACUGAUUGAAAGAACUGAAGUAAUCUAUUCUCCAGGUGUCUGAAAUGUCCUAAAAUCUGGGGAUCUGGUAUUUUCUUCUCUAAAAUACUAGGUCUACAGGUCUAGGAAAUGCAAGCUGAAAUCUAUAUUCAGUCCUCACAAACAAUCCCAGUUCUUGUGAACUUGUUACAACAAUGAAGCUUAUAGAAUUUUUCACUAAAAAAUGUGCUCUAUUGAAUAAACUCUUGAGAGUGAAGAUAGUGGCGAUACUACAGUAGUCUCUUAAAAAGGAAGAAAAAAAAAUAAUUAAAAAAACCCCAUAAAAAUUCUGGGGAUAGAGGUGAAGUUGUAUAACAGAAAAUGAGUUUUAACCUGGUCACUAUGGAGUACGGAAAUCAAUACUGGAUUUUUGUUUCUGCUUCCUUUUUUGCUAGAUGCACACAGUUUUCUGGGAGUUUAGGAAGCAGUCCAGAAAGCUAUCAUCUCUAAUUAAUCAGAGUGGAGUGCACGGGCCCUGGUUUUUCUCUGUGCUUUCAGAAAUCUCUGUGCUCCAUUUAGAACUGCUGUAAAUAAAUGAAGGCUUUACCUUUUUUUAUGGUAACAUCCUCACCUAUUCCAGUUCAAUUUUGCAACUAUUUCAGAGGUUCAAUUACUUCAGCUUGCCUGCUUGGUCUAAUGCAAGGACCUAGAGGUUUUCUUACAAAGCGAAGUUUCUUAGUAAUUGGAAGUGAAAUGGACCCAAUAUUUGUGUUCUUUGGACCAUAGGUAUAUGUCUUAAGUCUUCUUCAGAUAAAUUCAAUAGUCUAAUUUAGCAUGUAAUUUGUGUAAUAAACUGUAAAUUACUUUGGGUUAAUACUAAAGUAACUCCUGUUAGAGUCAAAGCUCUUUCUCUGCUUUGAUUUGUCAACUUGCCAAGUGGCCUUGGGAAGCCAUGCCUCUGUGCAAGAGUAAAUAUUUGAUCAACCACAACUAAACUUGAAAUCUAGUGCUGUUGUUUUCCCAUGAUUAAAGGAAAAAAACCCCAUGGUACAUAGAUAUGAGCUUUAUUUAUUAUUGCAUGUUUACAUGCAAAUUUUAAGAAAGUCAUAAUUCUUAGAAGUUUGGAGAAGUUUGAAAGUUUACAAAUUCUUAAGUGAAAGCAUAGGGGUUUCAAGGUGUAGGUACUAUAGGUGGUACACUUGAAGUAUACUACCUGUGUGCGAAGCAUUUAUAUGUUUAUACCCUACAAUCUCAUUCAUCAUUACAGAAUCAAAAUAUGGAAGAAAAUGUUUAAAAAAUGCUGAUACUUGCUACAGUUGGGUGCAGCUGCUUUUCAUUUUCCUGCUGCUCUUGAAGCCUAAAAUAAAGCACAGUGUGCAGCUUGCACACUUAAGUUGUAAUACAAAAAUGAGAACCAGAAUAGUCUGACUGUUUUCUUCAGUAUGGAGUCUAAAGUGAUGAAAAGGGGAACGGGUUGGUUCACACCAUGGCGUAAUCUGAAAAUAAAAUAGCACUUCUGCAUGAGUACAGCUAAUGCUCCCUGUUCCAUUCCAGGCAUGACCCAAAGCCUGUCCCUGGACAUAGGGAUGAGUAUAUCUGAACCACUUCACAACUGCAGCUGUCUUGUCAAAAUUUGUGUCAUCUCUGUCAUUCACUGUGUGGGAGGUGCUGCCAAAUUAUUCCCCUAUUUUAAAAAAGAUUAAAAAACUUUCUAAGAUUUUGAGGAUGGUAAAUGUUGCAGAGAUAUAUAAAAUGAUGUGUUGACCUUCUGCACAAGUAGCUGUUGCAAGGGAUUAUUCCUCAAGCCUACGCUUUGAAAGAGUUGCUGUGAGCAACUAUUGAGUGAGCUGAAGUUGCCAGUUAAGAAAGCUGAUAACACAGAGUAGUUCAUGGAGCGGAGUUCCUCUCUAUGACCUGGGUGUUGAUUUCUGAAAUAAGUUUUCUGCCAGAUGGUAUUUUUACCAUUUUUGCCAAGUGGAAAUGAAACAAGCAGUGUUUAAAAAAAAAACCCCAAACCACCAAAAAUGUCAGAUUCUGUAUCUCCUGUAGGAAAGCAGACUUCAAGGUCGUUUGCAACAUUUGAUGCCAUUUCCCAGAAGCCUGACGUGAUGCUUUUUGUCCUGAUAAAGUAGCUCAGAGACCCACAGGAUCCCAAGGUUUGAACCCUACUUAAAUAAUUUAGACCUAGCCUGGAUGUCCACUCGAAGUCUUGGGAGAGAACGUGUUUGGAUUGAUCCAGCCACCUGAGAAGAGAAUUUGGAGAUGGUGGCCAGAAGCUGCAGCCAUGACUCAGUAAGAAGGGGAAAAGUGCUGCUCUGAUGUUACCUGGAACUGCAUUUAACUUAAACCAGCACAGUGCCUUGCUCUUCUGUGACCUUUACCCAUCAGGACUUAUUAGCUAAUUGAAUUCAGAAGGUAACUCCCUAACUGUUUUCAAACUAAAUUAACUUGCUUCAAGGGACCAAGUUGUGUUUGUAUUUCCACAGAGAUAAUGAGUUUAGGCUUCAACUGAAAUCUUGCCAGAUAAUGAGGAAAAAAUAAAUCAAUGACCUCACUCUUAUCUGGUCUUAACAGGCAGGCUUUCCUUUUCUAAAAGUGACCCUGAAAUGGUCUGGAUUGAUUCACACAAAUACCAAACCCUGCAUCUUGCUAAGCAGAGCUGUCCAGGGGAACACUUUGCUCCAUGAAGAGAUCUAAUCUGAGCAUCAGCAAAGCUGCAAGGAUUUGAAUCACAGAUUUUCUUAGAGUCAAAAUAAAUGCUUCUGGGAAAUUCAAAUGAGCAGUAAGAUAAAGAGUUAAGGAAGAAUUUAGCUUCGGUAGUUAUUAGAAGAAAAGACCCACAUUCUCACACGUGUGCCUGGGGUUGAACAGUCUUCAUAGGCAUAUACUUGUCUGGUUCUCCAUAGACAUAUGCUUCUCUGAUUAUUUAAUUAGCUGGUAUUAUUAAAUAAAUGCUUUACAGAUGUUAAAGGGAGAUUGAUGCCUGCUGAGAACUGGUGUAGCUGUAUUGGUGGAGAUCCUUCCUUUGGUGCCUUGAUUAAUGGAAGAAGUACACAGCUCAGAAAUGUUCUGUAUUGAUCUCUCAAAUGAAGGCUUAAAUCUUCAGGUAAUAAAUGUGAUAAAUAAUAGUUUUAGAGAAUAUAUGAGGUAAUCUCUUUGAAUAUGCAGAGGUAAGAGGCAGGAGAUUUUAAUUACUUGCAAAGAAUCUGUAGAAACUACUAUUAAGGUCCAAAAAAUAAAAUUGAAAUUCUAUAGUAGCAAUAGCAGCAGUAGUAGAAAAGACCAUUCUGGUCUAAUAAGAGAUGUGAUGUUUUAGGGAGAGAUGGUUGCUUUUAUCAAAUUUGUUGAUACAGGUUGUACAGUGCACCAAUUCUUGAACAUCAAGGAAAAAGUGCUCUGAGGCAAAACCCCUUGGAGAUGUUUAAAACAUGACUGGACACAGCCCUGAGCAACUGUCUUUUUUUGACUCUGCUCUGAUCACAGAUCAGGGCUGGAUGAUUUACCUUCCAAACUCAACCAAUCUAUGACUUUGUGAACCUAGAAUACAUUUUUGAUGAGUGGCUAGUACCUUCUUGUGGCAACUGGCGCAGAGUAGAGAGCCCAGGUCUCCUGCAGGGGAAGAAGGAUCUGGAAAGGGUUUCUCUCUCAUGAAUCAAACUGGGCUCCAUGCCUUGCUUAGUGUUUUGUCCUUUUGCAAAACCAAAGUCCAAUGCAGCUUGCAGACAACUCACCUCCUGGGAAGUGACUGUGAUUCCAGAUUAACAACCUCCCACCCCGAAAACUGUGAGAAGUUGGCCUUUGGACAUAAGUGAGUUCCACUAAGAGCAAUCUUCAUUUGUGGCUGACUUGGGUGUGAUUACUUCAGUGCUGCAUCCAAAAGGAUUAACUUAUUAGGGAGGUGGUUUGAUCUGGAAAAAGGUUAAUUCUAAAAACAUCAUAGGAUAAAGAAAAAUGGAGAACACUCCCAUAAAAUAAAUCAGGUAUGGAAAUAAAA